GAAUGCAAGCAUUAUUAUUCCAGCCAAAAGUUUUUUUUGUUUUCUAGAGAGGUACGGUACUUCUAUAAUAGAACAGACAAAGGUGGUCCAAUGAAGCUCCAACAAGCUGCAGUGCAUGCAUGAUUGCAUGAAGAGGUUAUAACCUCUGCAGCAUUGCCACCAUAUGUCCUUUUUAACUCGGUCCGGCCGGUCUCUCCAAUCCAUGACCUUCAUUCUUGUCGUUGUAACAUCGUUGAGAGUUGAGACCAGACCCCAUGCUCUGCCUGCCUAGCUGCUUCGGUAAAUUGCAUUGGCUACUCUCCUCUCUGCUUCUUCCUACUCCUACUACAUGAGGUCUAUCAUCGAUCGUCUCUUGCAUUAUAUAACAGCUAGCCAUAGUGUUUCCUCACCACGACUAUGAACAGGGGGCGACAAGGCGCCGCCUUUGCAUUAUAUAACAGUAGUUCUUAGUUAUAUAAGGAGAGGGAGAUGAAUAAAGAGAGGCGAUGCAAAAUGGCAGCAUGGAUCGGAGGUUGAAGAAGAGAAAACAAAAGUGAAUCAGUGUGUAUCUGUAGCCUCUCAACUCUUCAAGUCCAUGCCAUGCCUUUCCACAGCUUUCUUGAACUUCUCCUCCUCCUCCUCUCUCUUAGAAGGGUAGCUUUGAACAUCUCUCUCUCUCUCUCUCUCUCUCUCUCUCUCUCUCCAAAGAAGGUCAAGAAAGCUGUGGGAAGAAAUGACAUAACAAGGACUCUGGAAUUCUGUAGUGAGAUGUGAUGUUAACUGCCCUUUUGCAAAUGUAAGUUGUUACUCCUCUGAAUCCGUCGUGCUUUAUGAGUAAUCACUACUACUCGUGCAGCAGCUUGGUUUGAUUUUGUCGAGCGAUCGAUGCAGAUCGGUUUUGCUUUCAAAUUAUGCGGCUUACCUAUAUAUUAUAUAUAUGCGGCCUUCUUGAUCUUAUGAUCCUUCUCAUCUUUUUUUUCCAACAAAUAUGUAUGUUUUCUUGGCUGAACGUAAUCUGAUGGAGUUUUCUCAUGAUUUUACACCUUCUAAUAAAUUUUCCAAACUGUGCGUUAUAUUUUAGCGGAGUGUAAAGAGAACCUAAAAGGAGUAAGGACUUAAGUCGUGGCACAUCCACACCCAGCAACACUAUAGGAGUAGCAGGCAGCAGGCACGCACAUUCUGAAAAGCUGAGGCAGGGGGGGCGGUUCCAUUUGCUGUCAAGCUGGAGUACCCCACAGGCAGUGACAGAGGGAAAGGCUGCGCCUUCCCUUUGCCCACGUCUCACCAUACUGAUGAUUGAUCUACCCACGGCAGAGGAUUUCAUCAGAAAGCUCCAUGCUCCAUCAUCCAUCCAUCCAUCACACUCCAGCCUGCAUCAAGGUCGGCACAAGGCAACAAGGGAGGGCCACUGACAGGUGGGCCACGUGCCUGCACCAGGCCCACGUGUAGCCCCAGCAGCUCGUGCAGUGAGCCAGUGACAGAUCUGGCCAUCUGGUCCUCUGAUCUCACUCGCCUUCUCGCUCAUGUCAUGGAUGGCUGGCCAUGGCCAUGGUCUGAUGACCCAGAUGGGAGAGGAAGCCGUACUAGGAGUACUCCUACGGAGUAGCACUAGCUGCCACUGCCAGGAAUAAUGGAAUAUGGAUUUCACUGCAAGCAAGCAAAGGGCAAAGGCAGUGGCUGCACCAGCAAGAAUCCAGUAAAAAUUCCCUCUG